UGGGGAAUUUUGGACAAUGGGCGAAAGCCUGAUCCAGCAAUGCCGCGUGUGUGAAGAAGGCCUUCGGGUUGUAAAGCACUUUUGUCCGGAAAGAAAUCCUUGGCUCUAAUACAGUCGGGGGAUGACGGUACCGGAAGAAUAAGCACCGGCUAACUACGUGCCAGCAGCCGCGGUAAUACGUAGGGUGCAAGCGUUAAUCGGAAUUACUGGGCGUAAAGCGUGCGCAGGCGGUUUGCUAAGACCGAUGUGAAAUCCCCGGGCUCAACCUGGGAACUGCAUUGGUGACUGGCAGGCUAGAGUAUGGCAGAGGGGGGUAGAAUUCCACGUGUAGCAGUGAAAUGCGUAGAGAUGUGGAGGAAUACCGAUGGCGAAGGCAGCCCCCUGGGCCAAUACUGACGCUCAUGCACGAAAGCGUGGGGAGCAAACAGGAUUAGAUACCCUGGUAGUCCACGCCCUAAAACGAUGUCAACUAGUUGUUGGGGAUUCAUUUCCUUAGUAACGUAGCUAACGCGUGAGGUUGACCGCCUGGGGAGUACGGUCGCAAGAUUAAAACUUAAAUGAAUUGACGGGGUCAUAGCUGUUUCCU
rnacentral:rRNA from 1 species